rnacentral:rRNA from 1 species
CUACGGGCCGCAGCAGUGAGGAAUAUUGGUCAAUGGGCGCAAGCCUGAACCAGCCAUCCCGCGUGCAGGAAGACGGCCCUAUGGGUUGUAAACUGCUUUUCUAAAGGAAGAAACCCCUUUACGUGUAGAGGGCUGCCUGUACUUUAGGAAUAAGCACCGGCUAACUCCGUGCCAGCAGCCGCGGUAAUACGGAGGGUGCAAGCGUUAUCCGGAUUUAUUGGGUUUAAAGGGUGCGUAGGCGGAAGUAUAAGUCAGGGGUGAAAUGCUGCAGCUUAACUGUAGAAUUGCCUUUGAUACUGUAUUUCUUGAGUGCGGUUGAGGUAGGCGGAAUGUGUAAUGUAGCGGUGAAAUGCUUAGAUAUUACACAGAACACCGAUUGCGUAGGCAGCUUACUAAACCGUAACUGACGCUGAUGCACGAAAGCGUGGGUAGCGAACAGGAUUAGAUACCCCCGUAGUC